CCAGCUCCAUGUGGAGCUGCUUCUCAAAGAGGCACUGCAGGGUCUUCAAGGGCAGGUGCAGCUUCGGGUAGGACACACGCCCAUCCUGCAGGGAUGGGGGUAGUGAGGUUGGGGGCUUGCCAGAGGGCGACCUGCCCUCCCAGGACCCCGAGACAGCAUGGGUGCACGCGUUUCUGCGUCUCCUGCAAGUUGCUGGUGGCUAUCGCUGACGCGGGGAAAGGCGGGCUGCGGGUAAAGUCAGUGCCAGCAGUGCAAACCAAAGGCCUUGACCCUCCUGGCCUCGACCCCUCUAGAAGGGACACUGGGCACCGUGCAGGGGGUGGCAGGGGCGGUGAUGCUGGGAGCUGGCAGAGCCUGGGGAGACCGUUCACUGCACCCCCAGAUGUUGGCUGUUUUCUCCUCAAACUCAGAACUGUAUGAAUGUGACCCAUCCAGAAAUAGAUGAAUUAAAAAUAACAACUAAA
rnacentral:lncRNA from 1 species